rnacentral:rRNA from 1 species
AACGAACGCUGGCGGCAUGCCUAACACAUGCAAGUCGAACGGGAUCCUGGUUUCGGCCAGGUGAGAGUGGCGGACGGGUGAGUAACGCGUGGGAACCUGCCCAGUGGUGGGGGAUAACUGCGGGAACUGCAGCUAAUACCGCAUGAGCCCGAAAGGGGAAAGAUUGAUCGCCAUUGGAGGGGCCCGCGUUCGAUUAGGUAGUUGGUGAGGUAACGGCUCACCAAGCCUUCGAUCGAUAGCUGGUCUGAGAGGAUGAUCAGCCACACUGGGGACUGAGAUACGGCCCAGACUCCUACGGGAGGCAGCAGGUGGGGAAUAUUGGACAAUGGGGGCAACCCUGAUCCAGCAAUGCCGCGUGAGU